UAGUUAAUGACCAGAAAAAAAGUAAGUCAUAAGUCAUAAAUACCACUCAGCAAUGGCGGUCGAAAAGAAUUGUAAAGUCGCAAAGAAUACUGUUUGUUCGUGGAUUGGCGUUUGUGACUGAAUCCAUCGAAGUUAUAUUUGAAGAAAUCUGGGGAGUCAGCACCUUGCUGAAUUGUAGUAAACGAGACGUCCAAUCUACUAGACCAUCAAAGAUGCAGAUUUGGAUUUUCUAUUUCAUAGUUAUUGAAAUCAUAAUGAGAAUGAAGUACUGCCACUAAGGUAAAGGUGCUAACUUGCAAGGUAAUUUUCUAUUCUACAUUAACUCAAUCUUUAUGUCCUGUUACAGAUAUAUUGGCAGAAAUAAUGAAAACCUGACAUUCAAAAAGAAAAAUAAUAACGUUGAAUGUAGUAUAUUAGAUGGUUAA